CUGUCUCUUGCUUCAACAAUGUUUGGACGGAACAG
rfam:Myotis lucifugus cont2.5298, whole genome shotgun sequence.